GGAGCCUGAAAGGCAAUCGCUUGGCUUGCCAAGAGGAAAGUCCGGGCAACAUAGAGCAAGGUAGUCGCUAACGGCGACCGUCCGUAAGGAUAGGGAAAGUACCACAGAAACUUAUACCGCCGGUUUCCGGUAAGGGUGAAAAGAGUGGGGUAAGAGCCCACAGCAUAUUGUAGCGAUACGACAUGGAGGCAAACCCUACCUGUUGCAAGGAGUGCUAUCAGCCUUUACUCGAGGACGCACGUUCACCGCUAGAGCGUUAUAGCAAUGUAGCGCCAAGAUAGAUGAUUGCUGGCUAUAUUAUAUAUAGUUACAGAACCCGGCUUAAAGACGGCUCAUUAC
rnacentral:RNase_P_RNA from 1 species